rnacentral:rRNA from 1 species
GACGAACGCUGGCGACGUGCCUAAUACAUGCAAGUAGAACGCUGAAGAGAGGAGCUUGCUCUUCUUGGAUGAGUUGCGAACGGGUGAGUAACGCGUAGGUAACCUGCCUUGUAGCGGGGGAUAACUAUUGGAAACGAUAGCUAAUACCGCAUAACAAUGGAUGACACAUGUCAUUUAUUUGAAAGGGGCAAUUGCUCCACUACAAGAUGGACCUGCGUUGUAUUAGCUAGUAGGUGAGGUAACGGCUCACCUAAGCGACGAUACAUAGCCGACCUGAGAGGGUGAUCGGCCACACUGGGACUGAGACACGGCCCAGACUCCUACGGGAGGCAGCAGUAGGGAAUCUUCGGCAAUGGGGGCAACCCUGACCGAGCAACGCCGCGUGAGUGAAGAAGGUUUUCGGAUCGUAAAGCUCUGUUGUAAGUCAAGAACGAGUGUGAGAGUGGAAAGUUCACACUGUGACGGUAGCUUACCAGAAAGGGACGGCUAACUACGUGCCAGCAGCCGCGGUAAUACGUAGGUCCCGA